UAUCCCUUCUACUCGUGAAGUGACGGAGCCAGCAUCGCCGUCACAUGUUGCAUCGCAGGCGUCUGAUCCCUCAAUCGCCCAUACACCGGGCACUGCAUCCAACGAGGACGUGGACCCACGCAUGGGUUGCUUUUAGAGCGACUUACACGUGAGGGUAGGGUGACGGUAUAGUUCCCACGGGACUGCAUUAGACCUGUUAAGAAUAAUGUCAUGUUGUUUACGUCGGAGGUCGGUGUCUUAUGCCGAUCUCUGAUCUCCCCACCACUCCCCGUUGGGGAGACGUGACAGAUGAUGUGCGGCAGCUCAUCCGUCAGCGCCUUCAGGAUAAAUUUGACUUGGAUUUGAGUGUUCCGCACAUCUCCCAUGCCGUCGACGACAUGAUGAAGGAGCGGUUCAAAGAUUACCGCAGUAAGUUACACCGGCAAUACAAGCGGUGCAUGAGCCACGAGGAGGC